CAGAUGAGAUGUUUCAGCCAACAGAAACCGCAUCAGAGCAUGAUUCCAAAUGCUCACACUUGAAUAUUUUAUACUUACUGUAAAUGUCAAUGGAAUUCCUGGUUACACUGUAUGUCAGAAACACACCUGAUGGCAGAUCCAACAGGAGAAAGGGAGGAAAUCUAAAGACAUCUAAAAUUAGAAGCUCCAAGGCAGCACAAGAGAGCCAAGGAUGUCAACUAGAAUGUGUGAACUCCAGCUCUUCAACACACUGA
rnacentral:lncRNA from 1 species